rnacentral:rRNA from 1 species
GACGAAGGUCCCAAGCGUUAUCCGGAUUUAUUGGGUUUAAAGGGUGCGUAGGCGGGCUAUUAAGUCAGUGGUGAAAGCCCCAAGCUUAACUUGGGAACUGCCAUUGAUACUGAUGGUCUUGAGUACAUUUGAGGUGGGCGGAAUGUGUCAUGUAGCGGUGAAAUGCUUAGAUAUGACACAGAACACCGAUUGCGAAGGCAGCUCACUAAACUGUAACUGACGCUGAGGCACGAAAGCGUGGGGAGCAAACAGG